ACCGGGUUACUGUGUAACCCGGUGUGACCCGGCUUGAACCGGGGUGACUCGGACUGAACCGGGGUGACCCGUCCGGUUUGGUGGAUCAACCCGGUCUUCUCUUUUUUUUUAAAAAAAAAAUAUUUUGAUGAUUUUUUUAAAAAAGCUGUUGAUAAUUAGGACUUAGUGAUUGAGUAAUUAUAAGAAAAAAUAUUUUAUUAUCAUAUAUCCAUUUUGAUAUUUUGUUGGGAUGAAUAUUUAGUGAUUUUAGUAGUAUGAUAUUAUAAGAAACUGUGAGAAUGUAAUUAUUUUACUAGUAAUUCAAGAUAUUAAAUUGAUAUCUAAUUCUUAGUGAAUAUUUAAAUUAUUUUUUAUUUUUUUAUUUCUUACCGGUUUAACCCCCGGUUUAACUCCGGUCUGACCCAGUGACCCUUGACCCAUCACCUUGACCGGUUCAAUUGCCGGUCCGGUUUUCAGUACCUUGGUUUCUUCAGAGCAUCCUUUCUA